CUAGCGGCUCCUCUCGACCUCCUCGCCAUGGACACUGACGACUCCCAGGCCCCUAAGGGCUCCUUGCGGAAGUUCCUGGAGCACCUCUCCGGGGCCGGCAAGGCAGUCGGCGUGCUGACCAGAGGCGAGGAUGCUCAAGGACCCAAGGAUUGAGAACAAUGGACUUUUUGAUGUGUGUUGCAAAUUGGAGGGAUCACCAGGUCUGCCCACCAGCCAGGAGGGAAGUGGGGAGAAGCUCUCACCCUAACUUGAGUUUUAAGAAGGCUCCUUGGAAGAAAAGACCACCAAAUUGAGAAUGAAAGGUAAGAAAUAGUUCACCAGCUGAGGGGGGCUACGGGAGUCAGAGAGCAGGCCACCCACGAGCCCCAGGGACACCAGCACAGGCAGGUUGUCAAAGUCACAAGGGGACAUGAAGACACGGGCCCAGGACAGCAGCUCUUAAUCCAGAAUGGUCUCAAGGCUCCUUUACACUCUGAAAAAUUAACCCAUUUAUGCCUGAGGUUGCAAUUUUUUUUGUAAAAAUUCAGACCUUGGCAAUGACCUUGAGCUGUAGGAUACAAAUAACUCCCACAAGCUUAGGAUUCCAAUAAUGGAACACGAGGCAUAAAAGGGUUUUAAUGAGGACCCAAGCAGCUUUUGAUUAUGUGGGCUUUUUUGCCUGUGUAGGUGCCUGUGUGUGUUUAUAUAAUUUUUCUAUAUUCUAAAUUAAAGCUGAGACAUUUACAAACUACUUAUGCAUUAAGGUAAGCCAUCAUUACAUGAUAAUAUAAAUAUGUUUGAAAAAUAUUUCUCAUAACAAAGUAAAAAACUGACUACUUAGAGUGAUGCUGUGUUGCCUUUUUUGCAAACCUCUGUAGUGUCUGGGUCAGAGGUGAAGCUGGACUCCCCCAUCUGCUCUGUAUGCAGCUUGGUGCGUGUCACACACCUCGCCACGCAGCCUCUAGAAAGUACACCAUGUACUUGGGCAAGAAUGAGUGAAAAAGACAAUGUGUUGAUAGUGGUAUGAAAAGAGCUUUUCUCUCGCUGCAGAUCAUACACGGGGGUCGUCAGACAUGGUCUGAGACAGCAUCCUGGCCCCGCUAAUCCCCUGGCUUCUGCUCACAGCACUGACCUAGCUAAUCCAAGAACAUGUCACCUAUAAUGAGAAUAUUAUAUAAAAAUCAACCACCUUA